rnacentral:rRNA from 1 species
CAGCCGCCGCGGUAAUACGUAGGUGGCAAGCGUUGUCCGGAAUUAUUGGGCGUAAAGGGCUCGCAGGCGGUUUCUUAAGUCCGAUGUGAAAGCCCCCGGCUCAACCGGGGAGGGUCAUUGGAAACUGGAAAACUUGAGUGCAGAAGAGGAAAGUGGAAUUCCAUGUGUAGCGGUGAAAUGCGCAGAGAUAUGGAGGAACACCAGUGGCGAAGGCGACUUUCUGGACUGCAACUGACACUGAGGUACGAAAGCGUGGGGAGCAAACAGGAUUAGAUACCCCCGUAGUCCCUGUCUCUUAUAU